CGAACGGGUGAGUAAUACAUCGGGACGUGUCCGCUCGUGGGGGACAACCAGCCGAAAGGUUGGCUAAUACCGCAUGAGUUCUACGGAAGAAAGAGGGGGACCCGCAAGGGCCUCUCGCGAGCGGAGCGGCCGAUGACUGAUUAGCCGGUUGGUGAGGUAACGGCUCACCAAAGCAACGAUCAGUAGCUGGUCUGAGAGGACGACCAGCCACACUGGGACUGAGACACGGCCCAGACUCCUACGGAAGGCAGCAG
rnacentral:rRNA from 1 species